GACGAACGCUGGCGGCGUGCUUAACACAUGCAAGUCGAACGGAAAGGCCCUGCUUUUGUGGGGUGCUCGAGUGGCGAACGGGUGAGUAACACGUGAGUAACCUGCCCUUGACUUUGGGAUAACUUCAGGAAACUGGGGCUAAUACCGGAUAGGAGCUCCUGCUGCAUGGUGGGGGUUGGAAAGUUUCGGCGGUUGGGGAUGGACUCGCGGCUUAGCAGCUUGUUGGUGGGGUAGUGGCUUACCAAGGCUUUGGCGGGUAGCCGGCCUGUGAGGGUGACCGGCCACAUUGGGACUGAGAUACGGCCCAGACUCCUACGGGAGGCAGCAGUGGGGAAUAUUGCACAAUGGGCGGAAGCCUGAUGCAGCAACGCCGCGUGCGGGAUGACGGCCUUCGGGUUGUAAACCGCUUUCGCCUGUGACGAAGCGUGAGUGACGGUAAUGGGUAAAGAAGCACCGGCUAACUACGUG
rnacentral:rRNA from 1 species